rnacentral:rRNA from 1 species
CUACGGGAUGCUGCAGUGGGGAAUAUUGCACAAUGGGCGCAAGCCUGAUGCAGCCAUGCCGCGUGUAUGAAGAAGGCCUUCGGGUUGUAAAGUACUUUCAGCGGGGAGGAAGGGAGUAAAGUUAAUACCUUUGCUCAUUGACGUUACCCGCAGAAGAAGCACCGGCUAAGUCCGUGCCAGCAGCCGCGGUAAUACGGAGGGUGCAAGCGUUAAUCGGAAUUACUGGGCGUAAAGCGCACGCAGGCGGUUUGUUAAGUCAGAUGUGAAAUCCCCGGGCUCAACCUGGGAACUGCAUCUGAUACUGGCAAGCUUGAGUCUCGUAGAGGGGGGUAGAAUUCCAGGUGUAGCGGUGAAAUGCGUAGAGAUCUGGAGGAAUACCGGUGGCGAAGGCGGCCCCCUGGACGAAGACUGACGCUCAGGUGCGAAAGCGUGGGGAGCAAACAGGAUUAGAUACCCUCGUAGUC